rnacentral:tRNA from 2 species
CGGGGAAAACGGGGUUCGAACCCGCGACUUCUGGCGUGACAGACCAGCACUCUAACCGACUGAGCUAUUUCCCC